UACGUAGGCAGCGAGCGUUGUUCGGAGUUACUGGGCGUAAAGAGUGCGUAGGCGGUUUUCUAAGUUUGGUGUGAAAUCUCCUGGCUUAACUGGGAGGGUGCGCCGAAAACUGCGGAGCUGGAGCGCAGGAGAGGAAAGCAGAAUUCCUGGUGUAGCGGUGAAAUGCGCAGAUAUCAGGAAGAACACCCGUGGCGAAAGCGGCUCUCUGGAACGGUACUGACGCUGAGACGCGAAAGCGUGGGGAGCGAGCAGG
rnacentral:rRNA from 1 species